CCAGAAUAUGGCCUUUUUAAGAAUGCAGUGGAGGUGAUACUAUGGUCAUAAUGACCAGGGGCUGGGUCAGAAGAACUUCAGAUUGAGCCUCUUGAAACAUUUGCUCUUGGAAUUCUCCCUCUCAGGAAACUAACAGCCUGCUAUGAAGCCCAAGCCACAAAGAGAGGCCAAGGGGAAAUAAACAGAGUGUGAUUAUAUGCAAAACCUACAAGAAUGAGGACCUCCAAACUCAGUGUACAGAGUGAUUUUCUGCUGAAACAAUUGGAAAAUAAAAGAGACAUCAGUGUGUGAAUGACGACUUUCUGUUGCUGACUUGGAAGACAGAGGAAUUGGGUCAUGAGCCGAGGAAGGUGGGCAGCUUCUAAAAGGCGGAAAAGGCAGGGGAUGGCUCUGGCAGAGAAUCACUCCUGAGUACAACUUUCUGGCGGAAGCUCUAAUACAAGAUGUAUACAGAAAAUUACAUUAAAUACCUGUCUCCAGCCUGCUUCAUGUAUUUCUGCAAUGACUAAAGAUGCAUGUUCAGUUUUGGAGGAAUCUUGGGCAACCUUCAGAAAAGAAGAGCGGCAUUGAAUUAAAUGGACUAUAAAAGGAAAUCUUUCAGCUGAAGUAUUCUGACAGCAGCAUAUUCUUGCCAACCAGGUCGUUCCAAAUGUGUAUCUGACCAUUAUUUUAAAUUAGAAGAUAUACCACUGUCAAACCAUAUCAGCCAAGAAUAAAAAGUGACAUAAUAAUGUUAAAGGAAAAACCACUGACAAUUUUUUCAGUAGUUCUCAUCCAGUACCAUAAUGCAAUAGAAUGUCAUAAG
rnacentral:lncRNA from 1 species